rnacentral:rRNA from 1 species
CCCAGACUCCUACGGGAGGCAGCAGUGGGGGAUAUUGCACAAUGGGGGAAACCCUGAUGCAGCGACGCCGCGUGGGUGAAGAAGCGCCUCGGCGCGUAAAGCCCUGUCAGCAGGGAAGAAAGUGACGGUACCUGAAGAAGAAGCCCCGGCUAACUACGUGCCGGCAGCCGCGGUAAUACGUAGGUGGCAAGCGUUGUCCGGAUUUACUGGGUGUAAAGGGCGUGCAGCCGGGCCGACAAGUCAGAUGUGAAAUCCGCGGGCUUAACCCGCGAACUGCAUUUGAAACUAUAGGUCUUGAGUGCCGGAGAGGUAAUCGGAAUUCCUUGUGUAGCGGUGAAAUGCGUAGAUAUAAGGAAGAACACCAGUGGCGAAGGCGGAUUACUGGACGGUAACUGACGGUGAGGCGCGAAAGCGUGGGGAGCAAACAGGAUUAGAUACCCUAGUACA